rnacentral:rRNA from 1 species
GAUGAACGCUGGCGGCGUGCCUAAUACAUGCAAGUCGAGCGAACGGACGAGAAGCUUGCUUCUCUGAUGUUAGCGGCGGACGGGUGAGUAACACGUGGAUAACCUACCUAUAAGACUGGGAUAACUUCGGGAAACCGGAGCUAAUACCGGAUAAUAUUUUGAACCGCAUGGUUCAAAAGUGAAAGACGGUCUUGCUGUCACUUAUAGAUGGAUCCGCGCUGCAUUAGCUAGUUGGUAAGGUAACGGCUUACCAAGGCAACGAUGCAUAGCCGACCUGAGAGGGUGAUCGGCCACACUGGAACUGAGACACGGUCCAGACUCCUACGGGAGGCAGCAGUAGGGAAUCUUCCGCAAUGGGCGAAAGCCUGACGGAGCAACGCCGCGUGAGUGAUGAAGGUCUUCGGAUCGUAAAACUCUGUUAUUAGGGAAGAACAUAUGUGUAAGUAACUGUGCACAUCUUGACGGUACCUAAUCAGAAAGCCACGGCUAACUACGUGCCAACAGCCGCGGUAAUACGUAGGUGGCAAGCGUUAUCCGGAAUUAUUGGGCGUAAAGCGCGGCGUAUGCGGUUUUUUAGUCUGAUGUGAAAGCCCACGGCUCUACCGUGGAGGGUCAUUGGAAACUGGAAAACUUGAGUGCAGAAGAGGAAAGUGGAAUUCCAUGUGUAGCGGUGAAAUGCGCAGAGAUAUGGAGGAACACCAGUGGCGAAGGCGACUUUCUGGUCUGUAACUGACGCUGAUGUGCGAAAGCGUGGGGAUCAAACAGGAUUAGAUACCCUGGUAGUCCACGCCGUAAACGAUGAGUGCUAAGUGUUAGGGGGUUUCCGCCCCUUAGUGCUGCAGCUAACGCAUUAAGCACUCCGCCUGGGGAGUACGACCGCAAGGUUGAAACUCAAAGGAAUUGACGGGGACCCGCACAAGCGGUGGAGCAUGUGGUUUAAUUCGAAGCAACGCGAAGAACCUUACCAAAUCUUGACAUCCUUUGACAACUCUAGAGAUAGAGCCUUCCCCUUCGGGGGACAAAGUGACAGGUGGUGCAUGGUUGUCGUCAGCUCGUGUCGUGAGAUGUUGGGUUAAGUCCCGCAACGAGCGCAACCCUUAAGCUUAGUUGCCAUCAUUAAGUUGGGCACUCUAAGUUGACUGCCGGUGACAAACCGGAGGAAGGUGGGGAUGACGUCAAAUCAUCAUGCCCCUUAUGAUUUGGGCUACACACGUGCUACAAUGGACAAUACAAAGGGCAGCGAAACCGCGAGGUCAAGCAAAUCCCAUAAAGUUGUUCUCAGUUCGGAUUGUAGUCUGCAACUCGACUACAUGAAGCUGGAAUCGCUAGUAAUCGUAGAUCAGCAUGCUACGGUGAAUACGUUCCCGGGUCU